AUCGCAACGAUUGUGACCCCAGGUCAGGC
rnacentral:rRNA from 1 species